UGGAAAUAGCGCAUAAACGCUUUGUAGCCCGUAUAUACGUGGCGGCGCGGCGGCGGGCGCACUGUCGCCAUGUCCUCAUCCCCGCGUCGCCUUGCCGCCCUCGCCGUCCUCGCCGCCGCCUUGCUCGCGCUCGGAGACUGCUCGCCCCUGCACGAGGCGCCGUCGCUGGGCGAGCUGGGCGGGCACGUGGCGCGCGCGGCCCGCGACCCGCGCCUGCCGCUGCCCUCUGCCGCCGACAUCGAGGCCAUCAAGAAGGUCGCGCAGAUCCUCGCCAUGCUGGGAGAACAGAUCAUAGGCAUCGUAGCUGGGUAGACAGGCGAGGCGACGGUGGAAGUAGGAAACGCGGCCGAAACAAUGAUGAGGGCGACCCCACGUGCAGGUGAUCCCGGCCAUCAUCGGGCAGCCGGCGGGUGCUCCAUGCGACCCCGCGUCCGCCGUCGCCCCCGCCGCCGCUGACCCGCCCAACGACCCCGUCGACGCCUAGACUAGCCCGCAUCACCAUGGUACUGCACCUGUAUAAUUAGUUACUUAGCGACUUUCAUAUUAUAAGGGUUAUUUAUGAAUUA